UGCUGGUGCAGCUGCUUUCUUCUUACCCCUUUGUCCAUUGAAAACUUUGGCCUUAUCAGGAUCUUUUUGUAGCCCAAUAAUUGGAUUACAUGACACUGAUGAAUUACUGGGACCACCAGCAGCCGCUUGUAAUUUCUCCAAGUUUUUCUUGUGUUUCUUUCCCAAUUUAUGUUGGUCAAGUACUUCAUUGCUGUUACAGUCCACUUUACAAAUUUCACAAUAUGCAGACUGAAC
rnacentral:misc_RNA from 1 species